GCGGUCGUGGCGAAACUGGUAGACGCGCAGCGUUGAGGUCGCUGUGGAUUAAACCCCAUGGAAGUUCAAGUCUUCUCGGCCGCACCA
rnacentral:tRNA from 1 species